rnacentral:lncRNA from 1 species
UCAGGCUCCUUGGCAGAACUUGUCUUCCCAGUCAACCUCUGUCACUGCACAACUUUUCUCAAAUUUCUAUAAAUGUCUCACCUUACUUUGUUACAUUUUCCAAAAUUAUGUGUUUUUUGCUCAUUUAAAUUGUAUUUACUGAGUGCCUCUUAAGUGUAAGUCACCCUACUAAAUGCCACAAAAGAUAAUAAGAAGACUAUGACAUGUCUUUAAUGCCAGAAAUUUAACUUUGAGUGGAAAAAAAGGACAUGAUCUUCUUGGAAAUGGUUUAGAGAUAGUCACUUAUACAGUAUAGACUAAUUUCACAGUUACUUUCCUCAAACUAGCUCAAAAUGCUGCUAUUAUUUAUGGUUAUUAAUAUGGUCUACCUUUCCAUUAAAUUAUAAGUUCUUCCAGUUAAGGGACAAAACCAGAGAUGUCAAUCUGUGCUCUAACUUCAUGCCUGUCUAAACAAGUGAUUUUUGCCCAGAGUCCUACUCUUUCACUACUUAGAAAUGUGCAUAGUGUCUCCUGAAAAAGUAUUUUCUUCAUCACCAAUGGAAAGAGGAAAUGCAUUCAGUUUCAUCACUGGUAUAAAGUGCAAGAAUUUUUCCUUGUUAUUUGUACUAUUUGGUAAAUUGCUAUUCUUGUUCAUUAAUACAGUCCAGAGUAUCUCAUUUGUGCUUAGGACACUAAUUCUGGAUUCUGUGAAGGCUGUAAUUAGGAUAUUGAGAGAAUUCACAACAAAUCAUGGAAUAAUCUGUAAUAAACUAAAAAUUAACUAAUCAAAGUAUCGAGUUUCUAUUCCUUUUUCUCUAGUUUGAUAUGAUGUCAGCUCCUUGAGAAAAGGGUUAUUUGAAACUCUGCUGUCUGCCAUUUAUUUGUUGAGACUAUAAAUCUCUAGUAUUUCAUUGGGAAACCCAGAUACUGAUUGGGGACUCAGAUUAAGGAAUUAAAGAGCUAUCUUGAUAUACCUUGUAUACCACCUGACCUGUCCUGGGUAAUAACUUAAGCUGAUCAGCUAGUAACGGUAAACCAUAGUUUGAUGCAUGCAUGUGUGAUGGUUACUAUAAAAUUUUAAAAAACUUCAAUUUUUAUUUUAAGUACUUGAAAUCAAUGGAUUACUAUUAAAAUAGACCAAGAUGGCAUUAAUAACAACUAAUAUUUUUGAGAGAUUACUCAAUUCCAGAUAUCACACUGAGAGAUUUAUUAGCAGUGUCUCUAAUCCUCACAAUACAGCAAAAAUAGUACUAUAUUACUUUAUUUUACAUAUUAGAAAUAUGAGGUUUAUAUAAUUUAAAUAACCAACAAGUAGACUCAAGGUAUCUCUAACCAGAACAUACAUUUUAAAAUUGGAAUUUGGGAAAAAAAUAGUAAAACAUACAGAAAAGUUAUAAGGAUAAUGCAGUAAACUCACAAAUAUCUUUCACCUAGAUUCUCUAGUUAUUAAAAUUUUGCCACACUUACACAUAUACCAGUAGUAUUUAUUUAUUACUUUAUGUGUAUAAUAUAUAUAUGUAUAUUUGUUGUUAAGCCAUUUGAAAGCAAUUUACAUAUUAUGCUCCCUUACCCCCAAAUAUUUCAGUAGGUAUCUCCUAAGAAAGACAUCUUAGAUGAUCACUUAUAAACCUUAUUAUAAUGUAUAGUCCAAAUUCCUCUUUUGCCAAUUAUGCAUAAAACAUUUUUAUAGACUCUAGACUAAUCCUUUAAUAUGCAGGAAUAUUUCAGACUUUCUAUUUCUCUUAUGACACUGUCAUUUCAGAGAAACAGGAUAGUAGUUCCCAUUUGUGUUUAUCUGAUUGUUUCCUGGUGAUUCAGUUCAAGUUAGAUGGUUUUGUUAAGAGUAUUGAGCACCUAACUACUAUGUCUUCUCAGUGAAUCACAGCAGGAGGCACCUGGACUCAGUUUGUCUUAUUAUUGCUGAUGUUGACAUUGAUCAUUUGGUUGAAGUGUCUGCCAGCUUUCUCUACUGUAAAGUUGUGGUUUUUUUCCUUUGGAACAAUAAGUAAGAUGCAGGACAUACAAUGAUGCCAUGUGGAUAUAUUAUUUACCAUCAACUUUAAUCCACUGGGUCCACUGAUAAUUUUUGCCUGAAUGAGUUAUUAUUGUACAAUAAUAAUUUUAAAAUAUCUAUUGUAUUUGUUCCUAGGACUGCCAAAACAAAAUUCCAUAGGCUUGGUGGCUUAAACAUGGUAAAUCUAUUUUCUCACAGUCCUGGAGGCAGGUUUGUUUUUUCCUGAAACCUCAAUCCUUGGCUUGCAGGUGGCCACCUUCUCACCAUACCUCACGUAAUCGCUCUCUGUCUGCAUUAGCUAUGUCCCAAUCUCCUCAUCUUAUAAGGUUACCAGUCAUAUUCAAUUAAGGCCCAACCUAAGGGUCCCUAUGAAACUCUACUUCUUUAAAGGCCCUAUCUCAAAAUACAACGACAUUCUGGGAUUUUGGGGUUUUGGGAUAUAGCAUAUGAAUUUGGGAAUUCCCUGGUAGCUUAAUAUGUCAAAGAUCUGAUGUUACUGCUAUGGCUCUGGUUGCUUCUCUGGCGCACGUUUGAUCUCUGGCCUGGAAACUUCUGCAUGCCAUGGGCACAGCCAAAAACAAAACAAAACAAAACAAAACACACACAUAUGAAUUUGGGAGGGGAACAGUUUAGCCCAUAACACCUGUCAUUUAUUUCAUAUUUAUUAGCUAGUAGUGUACUAUAACAAAGAGUUUCCUCAUUUCCUCAUUUCACACACACACACACACACACACACACACACACACACACACACACAUGUAUGCAUUAUGCAUGUGUAUGUACCAUACUCUCAGUAUAGACUCAUGGAUUUCCUUAAAAUUAGUAGAUUAUAAUUCAUUAUUUUCAUUAUUCAUUUUCAUGCUCUAGUUAUUCUAGAUUUGGCCUGUGGUAAAACUUUCAUGCUGACUUGUUUGUCGUUUUCAUAUAAGCUGCUAAUUUAUUGAGUUCUUUUUUUUUUUUUUUUUUUGGUCUUUUUAAGGCUGUACCCGCAGUAUAUGGAGGUUCCCAUGCUAGGGUCGAAUCAAGCUCGAGCCCUCGGUCUAUGCCACAGCCAUAGCAAUGCCAGAUCCAAGCUGCAUCUGCAACCUGCACCACAGUUCAUGGCAACACUGGAUCUUUGACCCACUGAGCGAGGCCAGGGAUCAAACCUGCGUCCUCAUGGAUGCUAGUCAGAUUUGUUUCCACUGAGCCACGAUGGGAACUUCUGUUGAGCUCUUUUAAACCUUCUGGAACAAAAAUACUUUUUAGACACAUUUCAUAGUUUCCCUGUCCUAGCCAAAGAAUCAGUAACUUCUCCAAGGAAUCGUUUUCUUUUAGUGGGUAAUGGCAUUUAGAAACCCAUACCUCCAUAAUCUGGGCUAGCAUAUACAUUCUUUUGUUUGUUUGUUUGUUUUUUAGGGCUGCACCUGCAGCAAAUGGAAGUUCCCAGGCCAGGGGUUGAAUCGGAGCUGCAGCUGCCAGCCUACCCACAGCCACAGCAACACCAGAUCCAAGCCAUGUCUGCAGCCUACACUACAACUCACUGCAGCGCUGAAUCCUUAACCCACUGAGGAAGGCCAGGGAUCAAGCCUGCAACCUCACAGAUACUGGUCGGAUUUGUAACCCUCCAAGCCACAAUGGGAAGUCCCAAGAAUGUACAUUCUUAAGUAUUAUAUAAGAACAAUGUCAAAACAUUCAAAACAGGAUUAGUGCAAAUAUAUUUAGAUACUGAUUAGAUAAAUACAUAUUAUAAUAAGAUCAAAUUUGUUGAAACAUGGGAUCCAAGUGAAAAAAAUGAUAUCAAAAGUCUAUUGCGAUGAAAGAGGACUAAAAACCAGAAGGGGACAGAAUAACUUGGGGAUAUUGUGGAUAUAGUUUCUUAAAUGCUAACCUCAAGAAGUACAAAGUACCUUAAAAUAUUCACCCUAUGUAUUUCAAAAGUAGAGCUGAAUAGUACACUUUUCCUAAUUGCUCCUUUUUGCAGGCCUCUGAGUCUUCAUAUAGAUUUCUAAUCUGCUUUCUUGGUAAAUCAAGUUAUAAAAGACCUUUAGAGUAAUGCUCAACAAUCAGGACUAAAAUGAGAGAAUAAAUUCAAAUACCACUAGACGAAUAGGGAAUAUUGCUGACAUAAGUUGUUAAUAAUGAAAAUACUGACCAGCAAAGAAACUCACUGAUGUAGGAUCUGUCUGAAAGCAUAUUGAUUCUUGAGUACAUUAAUCCCUUAUAGAGAGGAAUUAAUGUCAAGGAAUGAGUCAUGGGCCAAAAUAUAAGAUACUUUCAAAUGUGUUUUCAGAUCUUACAGUGUGCUCAUCUGUGGCAACCCCUGGUUGUUAAACAAUUCAGAUGCUUUCUGUAACCCGAUCCUGUGAUGCAUCGGGGAGAAGAAAAUACUUUUGGAAGCAACUUUGUUUCUCAUCACCAUUUCAGGGCAGCAAAGUACCAGUUAAUACUUUGGGAAGGAGUAAUUUAUCAUUUUCUAUAAGGAUGCCUUAAAAGAGGAACACACAUGCCAUUCGUUUUACCAGGCACUGUUCAUUUAUAUUGUUAUAUGAAUAUAUGUUUCACUGAACAACAACCAAAUUAGGCAGCUGUUAUUAUUUUUAUUUUGUAAGUGUGAAAAAUUAGUUCUAGAAAUGUAAAAUAAUUUUAUGAAUGCCAUACAUCUUUUAAGAUACAGAUCAAAGAUUCAAACUCAAAGAUCCUUGUUGCAAAUGUCUGCAUUUCACUAUUCAGUUAUUGCCCCUGGUUAUUUAUCAGUGGUAUAAAGAUGACCAAAACAAAUACUAUCCUAGAAAAUUCAAUUUGGUUGGUCACCACUCAUAUUGUUUUAAAGUACUAUCUAUAAAGUAUUAUUGGGGAUUUCCAUCUCCAGUAAUAUGGAAUAGAUGUACUUUUACCUAUUCUUUCUACAAAGCGUAGCUAAAACCCUGGACAUUAUAUAAAACAGAAGUAAGAAGACUCUGAAAGGAGAAAAGAAGUAAGCAGACUAGCUAAGGAUCUUGAAAACUGAGCAGUGGAAAGGCAGUGACUUUGGUGGGCUUUCUUUUCCCCUUAUUUCCCAAAAUGUUGAGUUUUCAGAUUGGGUGCUGGAAAAACUGGCAAACCAGAUAUGCCAACAAGAAUAGAGUAAAAAGAUUCAAGAAAAGUUCUAUUCUCCCUAGUAAAAGAGCCAGGAAAGGGGCAACCUCGCAAGACAGAAACACUCUACCUUAGCCAAACACAUAGAAAACACUAUGCAGCUACCCCCAAGGUACAAAGGCUACAUGGGGAAGCUAGACUUCCACUUCUGCCAGUCUGUAAUGAAAUACCCUAAACCCUCUAUGAGGUGCUGUUAGAGAAGCGCAAGUGAGAAGCUGGACUUUCACUCUAGCCAGAGGUAGGAGGACCCAUACCCCUUCGUGUCAGUGAAGACCACAUGAGUAGCAUGGACUUCUAUCUCAACCAGUGGUAAUGAGGCAUCACCCACACUUCCUGGUGGGGUGAUGUCCAAGGAGGCCCAGUGGAGAGUCAGGAUUUUCACUGUAAUCCAGGUAAUGAGACCACCCUCCCAUGGGUCGUCAGAAGCCAUUCAGAGAGCAGUAAGGAAACACUCCUGCCUUUCUCAGACAAGGUAGUGUUAAUGGAGUACUGGUGGGAAAUAGGGACCUCCAUCUAUCUCAGCAGACAAUAACUAGGAAGUAAACCACACUCCCCCAACAGGAACAUUGUCAGAGAAGUCCUGCUCUAACAGAGUAUUGAAAUGAGAUUCAGAGUUUCAUAUAUCUAAAUGUCCAGAUUUCAAUGGAAAAUUCCUUGUCAUAUCAAUAACCAGGACAAUUCAACUUGAAUGUGAAAAGACAAUCAACAGAUGCCAAAAUUGAAAUGACACAGAUAUUAUAAUUCUCUGACAAGCAUUUUAAAGCAGCAAUCAUGAAAAGUUUUGAUGAGCAAUGUACAUAUGUUUGAAACAAAUGGAAAAUUAAGUCUCAGCAAAUAAAUAGAUCCAAAGAAGAAACAAAUGAAAAUGUUAGAAUUAAAAAAUGCAGUAACCAAAAAAGUGGAUGGGCUCAACAACAGAAUGGCGAGGACAGAGGAGAGAAUCAGUGAACUUCAAAACAGAACAAUAGAACAGUAUGAACAACAGAGAGCAAAUAGACUGAAAGGAAAUUAAACAGAGUCUCAGCGACCUGUGGGGCUCUUAGCAAAGAUCACAUUCAUGUCCUGGAGUCCUAGAAGGAGAAGAGGAAGAGAGAGGGAGGGGAUGAAAAAGCAUUUAAAAAUAAUGG